AGAGCGAACGCUGGCGGCAGGCUUAACACAUGCAAGUCGAGCGGGCGUAGCAAUACGUCAGCGGCAGACGGGUGAGUAACGCGUGGGAACAUACCUUUUGGUUCGGAACAACACAGGGAAACUUGUGCUAAUACCGGAUAAGCCCUUACGGGGAAAGAUUUAUCGCCGAAAGAUUGGCCCGCGUCUGAUUAGCUAGUUGGUGAGGUAACGGCUCACCAAGGCGACGAUCAGUAGCUGGUCUGAGAGGAUGAUCAGCCACAUUGGGACUGAGACACGGCCCAAACUCCUACGGGAGGCAGCAGUGGGGAAUAUUGGACAAUGGGCGCAAGCCUGAUCCAGCCAUGCCGCGUGAGUGAUGAAGGCCUUAGGGUUGUAAAGCUCUUUUACCAGGGAUGAUAAUGACAGUACCUGGAGAAUAAGCUCCGGCUAACUCCGUGCCAGCAGCCGC
rnacentral:rRNA from 1 species